rnacentral:lncRNA from 1 species
CCGGGAGGAACCUGCGUGUGAAUGAGACGGCUGUCAGCAAGCCUACACUCAAAGGAUUUACCCGGUGCAGAGAGCUCCAAGAGAACACCAGAGCCCCUGGUAUUCUGGUUCACUUGAAUUUGUCCUCCUGCCUAUUCCAUAUUUUUUUCACACAUAUAAUCAUUUGUUUGCAGUCCGGAAAUAUAAAACCAUUCAAGAAACGGAGGCCCAACUAUUGGCUUCCCGAUUAUUCUACCAACUCUACCAAAUCCUUGUUCUUCGUUGCACAAUUAGCUGUGAAACAGACAGAGGUUACCUACAAUAAGUGCAUGUCAUUUUGGACUAGCCAUAUUUCAAGGGCUCAGUAUGGCUAAUGGCCACUAUAUUGGACAUCGACGGUCAAACCCAUUUUACAUUCCCCUGACAACUAUGAUUGGUGUGAGGCCUAUGAUGGCCCAACUAGGCUGACAGCAAAGAUCUUUCCUGUUGGCAAAGAUCAUCUUUCUCUCUCCUGCUGGCAAGAACAAGAAAGAAUAAAGGUCUGAUCAACCCAUGAGCUUUCUUGGGAUUUAUGAGGAGAACCAGACUUUGGAUGAAACUGACAUUGAAAUGAGCAGGAUGGAGAGAAAAAUCCUAGGGGUUUGGUGACAAUACUGGGCUGCUGAUUAAACUUGGAGUUUGCCCUGACUCUGAACUUUCUAUUUAGUGAGAUAAUAAUUGUCUCAAUUGUUUAAGCUAGCUUGUGUUGCUUCCAGCUAAAAGAGUGCCAGCUAUAUACAAUGUGCAAGCUGACAUGUUGUCAUGCUCUGACACUGAUGAACACACCCCCACAAGGCUGUGAAGUAGUAGGGGAAGAACUAACCUGCAUGGAGUUGGAAGGGGGGGAAAAACAAAAUCAAACCAUAUGGAAAGCAGUUGAAUUCACUGCAUUAAAUAUACUUUUUAAAAUGUACAACAUAAUAGCCAUAUGUUUAAGUCAGAAUCAUCUGCAAAGCACGCAUGUUCACUUUCUGUUCCAGAGUCAGGCGUCUGAAUUCUGUGAGCAAAGCCUAGAGAAAAAAAACUAAGCCUAUGCCAGAUUUACAGGAAUAGUUAUCUUUAUAAAGACUAUAUGAACUGUAAUACAAAGUUACAAAGCUGAAGGCAAAGCUUUUCAAUAAAGCAAGUGGCUCUCAAAGAGAUACCUUCAAGAGUGUGGU